UUUCCUCCUAUCUAAAAAUGUAUUCACUCUUUCAGUCUUUGUUUUAAGGAAUUCUUAACUUGUGAAUCUCAAGACUAUAUUCCUGUCGUAUCCAGUUUAAAGAAACCAGAGAUUAGUGUCAGUCAUAAUGAGAAGGAUGUCAUCAUCUCCUGUGAGAUUCCUGGACCUGCUGGUAAUGACACCACUUGUAACCUGUAUGUUGGAGAUCAGAGUCAACAUCUCCAGAACAGAAAGAUCUGGAGGAAAAAAUCAUCCAGGUCCAAGACAUCAUUCUGUCAGUUCACAGUGACUGAAGAUGACCUGAUCAGACAUCUACAGUCAGUAGGGAGUCAGGAGGUGAGCUGUGACUACAGAGUGAGUUCAGGACCAAACUCUCUCUCUCCACGUAGUGACGGGUACAUUAUAACAAAUUUGAUAGCUAGUGCUACUUUGAUCCCCAAAACAACAUUGAGACCAACUACCAGUUCAACCACUUCUUUGACCCCCACAGCAACAACAUCAGGUUCAACCACUUAUUUGACCCCCACGGCAACAACAUCAGGUUCAACCACUUCUUUGACCCCCACGGCAACAACAUCAGGUUCAACCACUUCUUUGACCCCCACAGCAACAACAUCAGGUUCAACCACUUCUUUGACCCACACGGCAACAACAUCAGGUGUGUUGGCUACUGCGAUUUCUAGGCCAGCAUAAACAUGUACCCAGAGGUGUGCUCAAAGAGUCAGAUUUCUGACAACAAAACUGUGCCUAAUUAUGCUGGUCCUACGGUAAUUGAUGUCCUGGAAACUUACAUUGGACUUCACAAUGGUCCCCCAAAGAACAUUUCAUGGACUCAUUACUUUAAAAUCAAUACAGAGGUAGCUAGUGAUUUUUCACUCUCUUAUAAAAUGGUAUGAUUCUUAAAUACAUCAGCUCAGUAAACAUCCACAAUAAACAUCAAAUAAUAUCCAGAAAAAUCUAUGCGCCCCGUUCUGGAGAGGAAAGUGGUCUGCCACACUUGAACUUGCCCCUUUCUGCGUUUGUGAGAGAAGAGAAGGGCCAACAGAAGCCUGAAACCUUCGCAAGGUCAUGGGAUUCAUCCGGGGCCCCAGUUUCUUCUGGUGUCUUUUGUGGCGGUUUCAUGCAUUGAUGACUGCCAAUGUGACAGUGUGCCACCAAAUGUACAUAUACUGUCUUCGGAUUUGAAGCUGGUCUUGUGAAGUGCACACAGCAUAUCAAGGAGGUCUUGUUCAAAGUUGAAAGUUUAUCAAAUGCACCGAAUAAAACAGUGUCAUCCAGCACAAUGAAAUUUUUGUGACAUGACACACAACAUCUACAUAGUAAGAAUCAAGAAAUAUAUAAGGCAAAAAUAUAGCAACACCAAUAUAGUCAACAUGAACUUUUACGUUUUACGUUUCAACAACGGCUGUCAUUUUAUCAGACAAAAACAAUGUGAACUCCUAACACUUGACUAUUCUUAUGUAUUGAUGCUGCUUUCUAAAAAGAAAAGGUUCUCAAAUAAUACUUUAAUUUGAAACUCUGGUGGAAGUCCUAUACAGUUGUGCUCAAAAGUUUGCAUACCUAUGGAGAAUUGGUACUAUACAGCUCUGGAAAAAAUUAAAAGACCACUCCUAAUUUUUCUUAAGGGUAGGGCAAAAAAAGCACAUUUCCGCCUAAAAUGAUGUACCCAAAUCCAAAUGCUUGUAGCUCAUGACUUGAAUAUAGUAGAAACAUAUUUUGGUUCCAUUUGAAAGGAAACACUCUGUAGUUUGUAGGAAUUAUUAAUUAAUGCAGGAAAGUAUAACACAAUAGAUUUGGCAGGAGAUAAAACAAACCAAAAACAAAAUAAUCCUCAUCAUGUUUGAAUUGCAG
ensembl:lncRNA